rnacentral:misc_RNA from 1 species
UUGGCUCUUUGCUUGUGCAACAACUUCCACCUGGCAAGCCUUUUCACGAGUCAUUCUAGGCUUCAAGAUGCCAAAAGAAAUAUUUGGUUUCAUGUGUUGCUUGCCUAACGUACGGUAUCGAUCGGACCUGCAUUGGUUCUUUUUGUCUUGCGGCCUUUCCUGUGGCGCUAGAUGAACCUCAAAGCUGUCUCUAUAAACCACAUCGUUGUCGCGUGGGUUGAUUUAGUGGUGAAUGGAGCACUUCCUGGUCUCUUCGAUAUAGAAUCUAGCCUGGCAUGGGUCUUGUGGGAUCCUUGUUAUGUGCCUGUGUAGUGUUUAUGCUCCCGAAAAUGACGCUCGACUCGCAUUGGCUCGUACCAGCGUGUUGGGUUUUGUCAAAGAGGAAAGUUACCUGGUUGAUCCUGCCAGUAGUCAUAUGCUUGUCUCAAAGAUUAAGCCAUGCA